rnacentral:rRNA from 1 species
UUUAUUGAGAGUUUGAUCCUGGCUCAGGACGAACGCUGGCGGCGUGCCUAACACAUGCAAGUCGAACGAGAAUCCGUGGACGGAGGCUUCGGCCAACUGAAGCGGAGGACAGUGGCGGACGGGUGAGUAACGCGUGAGCAACCUGCCUUUCAGAGGGGGACAACAGUUGGAAACGACUGCUAAUACCGCAUAAUGUGUUUUGGGGGCAUCCCCGAAACACCAAAGAUUUAUCGCUGAAAGAUGGGCUCGCGUCUGAUUAGAUAGUUGGUGAGGUAACGGCUCACCAAGUCGACGAUCAGUAGCCGGGUUGAGAGACUGACCGGCCACAUUGGGACUGAGAUACGGCCCAGA